AUACGGAGGAUCCGAGCGUUAUCCGGAUUUAUUGGGUUUAAAGGGUGCGCAGGCGGGAGAUUAAGUCGGCGGUGAAAUUUUGCAGCUCAACUGUAAAAAUGCCUUUGAUACUGGUUUUCUUGUGUGUGGAUGAAGUAGGCGGAAUUUGUGGGGUAGCGGAGGAAUGCUUAGAUAUCAAGAGGAACUCCGAUUGCGCAGGCAGCAUACUAAACCACUACUGACGCUCAGGCACGAAGGCGUGGGGAUCAAACAGUAUUAGAUACCCUGGUAGUCCACGCAGUAAACGAUGAUUACUGGCUGUUUGCGAUACAAUGUAAGCGGCUGAGCGAAAGCGUUAAGUAAUCCACCUGGGGAGUACGUUCGCAAGAAUGAAACUCAAAUGAAUUGACGGGG
rnacentral:rRNA from 1 species